rnacentral:rRNA from 1 species
CUGGCGGCAGGCCUAACACAUGCAAGUCGAGCGGAAACGAAGAGGUGCUUGCACCUCUGGCGUCAAGCGGCGGACGGGUGAGUAAUGCUUGGGAAUAUGCCUUAUGGUGGGGGACAACAGUUGGAAACGACUGCUAAUACCGCAUGAUGUCUACGGACCAAAGAGGGGGACCUUCGGGCCUCACGCCAUAAGAUUAGCCCAAGUGGGAUUAGCUAGUUGGUGAGGUAAUGGCUCACCAAGGCGACGAUCCCUAGCUGGUUUGAGAGGAUGAUCACCCACACUGGGACUGAACACGGCCCAAACUCCUACGGGAGGCAGCAGUGGGGAAUAUUGCACAAUGGGCGCAAGCCUGAUGCACCAUGCCGCGUGUGUAAGAAGGCCUUCGGGUUGUAAAGCACUUUCAGUAAGGAGGAAAGGUUAAGUGUUAAUAGCACUUA